rnacentral:rRNA from 1 species
AUACGGAGGGUGCAAGCGUUGUUCGGAAUCACUGGGCGUAAAGGGCGCGCAGGCGGUUUGGUAAGUCAGAUGUGAAAGCCCACGGCUCAACCGUGGAAGUGCAUUUGAAACUGUCAGACUUGAGUACUAGAGGGGAAAGUGGAAUUCCCGGUGUAGAGGUGAAAUUCGUAGAUAUCGGGAGGAAUACCGGUGGCGAAGGCGACUUUCUGGUUAGAUACUGACGCUGAGGCGCGAAAGCGUGGGGAGCAAACAGGAUUAGAUACCCUAGUAGUCC